rnacentral:rRNA from 1 species
UACGUAGGGACCAAGCGUUGUUCGGAUUUACUGGGCGUAAAGGGCGCGUAGGCGGCUUGACAAGUCACUUGUGAAAUCUCCGGGCUUAACUCGGAACGGCCAAGUGAAACUGUCAUGCUAGAGUGCAGAAGGGGCAAUCGGAAUUCUUGGUGUAGCGGUGAAAUGCGUAGAGAUCAGGCGGAACACCCGUGGCGAAGGCGGCCAGCUGGGCCGUCCCUGACGCUGAGGCGCGAAGGCGUGGGGAGCGAACGGG